CCCGAGACUAGAGUCACAUCCUGACAGCUUUUGUCCUGGUGUGCUAGAGUCCUCGGAGAGAAUCUGCUGGUCCUGAUUCACUGGCGAGGGCAGUAAGUGCCCCCGUGAGUGCCCAGAUCAGAAACAUGC
ensembl:snoRNA small nucleolar RNA, H/ACA box 3B